rnacentral:rRNA from 1 species
AUUGAACGCUGGCGGCAUGCUUUACACAUGCAAGUCGAACGGUAACAGGGUGCUUGCACCGCUGACGAGUGGCGAACGGGUGAGUAAUGCAUCGGAAUGUACCGUGUAAUGGGGGAUAGCUCGGCGAAAGCCGGAUUAAUACCGCAUACGCUCUGAGGGGGAAAGUGGGGGACCGAAAGGCCUCACGUUAUACGAGCAGCCGAUGUCUGAUUAGCUAGUUGGUGAGGUAAAGGCUCACCAAGGCGUCGAUCAGUAGCGGGUCUGAGAGGAUGAUCCGCCACACUGGGACUGAGACACGGCCCAGACUCCUACGGGAGGCAGCAGUGGGGAAUUUUGGACAAUGGGCGCAAGCCUGCUCCAGCCAUGCCGCGUGUCUGAAGAAGGCCUUCGGGUUGUAAAGGACUUUUGUCCGGGAGCAAAUCCUAGUGGUUAAUACCUACUGGGGCUGAGAGUACCGGAAGAAUAAGCACCGGCUAACUACGUG